rnacentral:misc_RNA from 1 species
UUGACAAUCUGAAUUUUGACAUACCUACUACAUUGGAUCUCGAUCUCAUUAAAAUUUUCUUUUUUUACGUUUGCUCAGAUUUUUACGUUAUUUUAUAUCUUUUAUACCAUGUUGUGCAUUAACCAUUAGUUACCAAGGCGUUUUUUUAUAAGUGGUUAAAAUUUAUUUCUUUAUUUACAAAGUACAAACCAUGUUCUAAAGAAACUUGUUUCCAGUGUCAUUUGCUGACUGAAAAGGUGAAAGUGAUAUUAGAUAGGUAUGGCUUGUGCAGAAGUGCAUCCUGAUAAUAUGGAAUCUGAAAGGGAAGAAGGUGAAAUUGUAGACGAGCUUGAUGAUCUAUCAGAUAUUUCGUCAGAGGAAGAGUUUUUACUACGACAAAGGUUAGAAAUUCUGGAGAACUACAACAAUGUCCUUGAAAGAAAGGAGGCUAAAAGGACAUCCCUGGGCACAGGUAAGCCAAAUAAAACAAAACCAUCAUUUUGGCAAGACUUUACAAAAGUAAUAGAUGAUAAAAAUGAUUCUAAAACACAAGAAGUGUAUAGAGUUACUCGAACUGAAAAAUAUCUAAAAAAAACUAAAAAGCUAAAAGAACAACCAAAAGACAGUGUGCCCAUAAAAAAUAACAGAAAGAAAUAUACCCGCAAUAAAAAAGUUCAUCCAAUGAAAGUGGUAAGUGAAACCAGUGAAGAUUCAGAAGAUGAUGAAUACAAGAAUAAACGGCGAAAAUUAGCUGAUGCUGUCACUCUUAACAAAAAUAAAGUAGACACAAGUUCAUUAAAAGAUAGACUUGCCAAAAUGCUAAAUUCCAAACCGACAAAAACUACAGAUUCUUUUAUUAUUCAAAAUUCUAUAAUACUCACGGGCCCAAGUACAAAACCGGUUCAUAAACCUAGUUUGAAAGCGAACUCAAAAAUUAUGUCAUUGAAUAAUGAUUCAACAGAGAAUACACAUCCACUUGUAUUGAGUGACAUGAUGGAUACAGAUGAUGAUGUAAAGAUUAUUGAAACUGUUGGUGAAGAUUCACAUGAUACUGUGGAUGCUGGAAAUGUAGAGAAGAAGAAAGAUGUGCAGCUUAAUGAUAGUGGGGCAAGUACUGAUGAAGAUAUAGAGUCACUGAGGCAGCUCGCUUUAAAAACCAAAUCUUCCAAACUGAAGAUAGCUCUUCCUGAUGUACAAAACAUUGUUGCAAAUAAACCCGAGUCAGAAGACGAAGACAGUGAUACUGCUGAGUUGAGGAUGAUAUGUUUAAGGUCAGCUUUGUUAAAAAAAGCAAUAGAGAUGAAAAAGAAACAGAAAUUGCAGAAACGGUUAUCCCAAAAUUCAAUUAUGGAAGACAGUUUAUAUGAAAAUUGCAAUAAUGAUAGGAAUGAAAAUGAGAAUAAUACAGAUAUUGAGAAUGUUGAUAUGGAGAUUGGUUCAGAUGGAGAUGAGAAAAGCAAAGAUGGCUGUGAUAAUAAUAUUUUUCAUGAGUAUGAUGUUAAGAACUUAAAACAAAGUACAGGUUCAGUUAUAUUAACCAAAGAGGAUGAAUUGGAAGAAGAUGAAGAUUUGUUACGAGCAAAGUUAUUGACCUCUUUAAGUAAAAAUCUUCCUAAUCUAGUUGAUAUUAAUACAUUCACUAAUAGUGAAGUUGAAGUUGCAAGAGAAGUAACUAUUAAGCCAAAAACAGAAGUAGUGAAUAAAAUAAACAUACCAGAGGAUAAGAAAUUUAUCAUUGAGCUCGGUGAUUCAGACUCCGAAGGUGAACACGAAGCUACGAAAAAUUUGACUAAAAUGCACAUGAAAUUGGCAGAACAAACAGAAUUUCAACAGAAACUUGAUCAGUUUUUGAAAUCUACUAGAUUGGAAGUUGAGAAGAAUGCCUUGCCAGAUGUUGUUCUACCUCAAGCUCCGACAAAACCACCACAGAAAUUUGUUCCAAAGGCAAUGAACCAUUUACCGAAGUCGGAACAAAUUGAAUACAGAAACUUAGUGAAAAGAAUGGCAGAAUUGGAAAAAUUAAAACAGGCGAGACAGCUCUCUUUGAACAAUUUUAAUAAGCCUAGUAGCAAAGAAACACUAAAACCCAGAAAUAAUUCUGUUAAUAACAUGGAGAUGUCUGCAAAGAAAUUAGAAGAAAAGAUUGCUACAUCAAGAAAAAUGAUAGCCGAGGAAUCAGCUAAAAUGCUUAAACUAAAAGAGGAAGCAACAAAGUUAUCUCAAAGGUAUAAGAUAGUAUCAAAUGAACUGAGAAAUAUUACGACGGCAAUCACGCUCAAUAAGAAGCAACAAAGAAAUGUACAGAAUGGAUUAUCGAAAAUAAGACUGCAUCAUCAAAUGCUUUUGAAGAGCUCAACCACACUCAAACAUUCCAUACCCCAUCCGCCUUCCAAUACCGCUAAUAAAGUAAUUAAUAGUACUAAAAAACAAAAAGAAAACGAUCCAUUAGUUAAGGAACAUAAAAACCCCACUAUACUGAAAUCAGUAAAAGUCAGUGUAAUAAAUGAUUUAAAUAAGGAUACGCCUACAAAUAAUCCUCGAUUGUCGGUUGAGAUUGACGUCAGUAGCAAUACGAAAGUGGUAAAAGCAAAUACGCCGACCAAAGAGAGAACUGUAGAUUUCCAAAAGACUGAAGACCAUAUCGGUGAAUUUAGUAAUCCAGCUACGAAAAGUGGGGGGAAAAUAGAUGAGGAAAGAAAUAAAAAUGAAUGUCAAGUUAAAGACUACACGUCUCCACUGGAUGCUCUGGGAAGAACAGAUUGGAAAGAAGACCCGAACGCUUUCCUGUGCCCCUUCGAAGUUGGCGGCACGUGCAGGGACACUGACUGCAAAUUCCUACACUUAAAGUCACACACUCAAUGACAUUAUACGAAAACACACAGACACACGCUACGCCACAGAAACAAACACAAAAGACACACACACUCUCCCUUUUCCCUGUAAAUUGUGCCAACUUCAACCGUCGACGGAUCCUGCGUUCGAGUUUGGCGAGGCAUGCGCGGGUUCGCCCUUCUCCGGCUGUGGUAAGUUUUAAAUAGUGGUUUUGUAGUGAUUAAGACUCUUGACUGGCAUCCGCCAUCCGUACAGUGUUUCGACGCGCACCGAAUGGUAAACUGUUGUGAUUGUGUUAUUUAAUUUAUAAUUAUACAAAAUAUUAUACAUAAAAAUGUACAUAAUGUAAAAAGUUUUAACAAUA